GGAGGGGGACCCGCUCCGGAAGGCGCUGUUUGAAGCCUCUCGGUCUUUGAAGUCUGGAAGACGUCUGCAGAGGACCCUUUUGGCAGCACAACUGUUACGCUAGGGAGUUGGUUGGAGAUUUUUUGUUCCUUAAAAGAUCUUAAAGAACUGGCGAUUUUUUUUUAAACAAACACAAAAACAAAAAAGGGACCAUUGCAACUUUUUUAUUUUAUUUUAUUUUUUUGGAGGGAGAAAACUGAUGUCUUCUAUGCAUCCGAUUCUUAACAAAACUGCAGGGAGCUUGAAAAAAUGCAGACUGUACAAACGCUUACAAAAAAAAAAACUGUGAACUGACUUAAGAUCAGAGUUUACUUUUCAGAUCAAAUUGUUUAUGGUUUUACAAAUGUGAUUUCUACUUGCCAACUUUUUUUUUGUAACUUGUUCCCUUAUACCUCCUUGAUUGAAUACCAGACAGCCUAGACCUCAGUACAAAAGGUAUUGAAACAUUUUUGAUACAUAACAGACCUCAGUCUUUUUUAAAAAUUAAUAUAUUUUCAGGCGUAUUUUUGUACAGUGAAAAGGGAACAUUCUUGCUGUGUUUUUUCAGUAAGACUUUCAGGCACUUCUUCCCUUUUGAUUUCUUUUUUUUUCCCCUCUUUUUUAGCAUGCAAGUAUGUUGGUACGUUAUGUCCUGGUUUAAAAAGGAUUAAAAUUUUAAAAUAAUCCUUGCAUCUAAAGGCCUUGUGGUUAAAAAAAAGCAAACUUUUUUUUGUACAGCUAUAGUAGAGAUUUGUUCAAUAUUUGUAGGUAAAGAUUUAUUGAAAAUGGUGAUAUAGACCUCAGAGCUGUUAUCUUAGUUUAAAGAUUGUAUAUGUACUGUACUAUAGUAGGACUUUAUGUAUCUCAUACGCUGUGAUAUGUGGAUGGGGCCCCAGAAGGAAGGUUUGAAACUGGAUUCUCGAUUAUUAGCAAAAAAGAAAAAAGAAGGCACAUAGUUUAAAAAGUUUCUCAUUUUGUGCAAUAUAAUCUAAAUAAAGUACAGACCAUCUGCAUAUUUUGUAGCAAAUGGUGGCAAAGCAGACUCAAUGCACUGUCGACAUCCUUGCCUGUUUUUUUUUUUUUUUUUUUUUGUGCUGGAAGUCUGUAUCUUGACAAUUGUAAUAAAUCAGCUGGAACUGAUAGAAACUCGCAUCGCCAAUAGUCUCUAUGGAAGUCAAAUUGGAGGUCCUGUUAUCGCAGCUCAUUCAGUGAGGAGGCUGUUGUGUGCGCGGGUGGGAGGUGGCGGAAGAGAAUUCUGCAGUUAGAGGGCUUAGGCUGAAAAGUGCUCCAUUGGCAGGCCGAUUUUUUUUUCCUCUUCUUCGGUGGCUAGUUAUUACAAAUGGGGGAGGAGGAUUCUUUCUCUUUCCCCCCCAUUUCCUUUCUCACCUCCUCCUCCUCCUCCGCUCCCGCCCUUCUCUCCCCACCCAUCCUGGCCGGCGGGCGGGCGGCGCGGAGAGGCUCGGGGCGCUGGCCGGGGAGGGGCGGGCUUGACGAGGACCGGGUUGCCCGUGCGCGGUCGGUGUCCUGCGCUCGCCAAGGGUGUGCGUGCGUUCCCUGCGCGGGGCUGCGUCUGGGCUGCGCGUCGCGGUGGCAGCCGCCCUCGGACAGUGAGCGCUCGGAUCCCUACCGCUAUCCCUUGGAGGGUGAGGACAGCCGUUUCCAGUUUGGAAUUUUUUUUUUUUUUUUGACGCUGCAUCUUCGCCUGUGCGCAGAGGUAGUUGCUGGUGGGGAGCGCGGCCACAGUUCUUGACCUCAAGCGGUGACGGGAACAGGGGAGAGGGUGUUGGUGCCUGUCUCUUCCUCUUGCCCCCGCGCCGGGUAGCUCGGCCUGCGAUGGGGAUGGAGGACGGCUGCGGGGUGCCGGGCAUGGCUGGGCAGAGGCUGCGAGCAGGCGGGAGGCUGAGGAAGGAGGGCGCGACGGGUCGGCCCCGAGCGGCAGGGGAAUAUGGCACGGCCCCUGUGCUAUCCGAGCCGUGGCCACCAGGGUGGGGGUGCAGGGGGGCCGUCCAGGGCGCCUGGGCGGCAGCCCGGGACACCAAGGCAGACCCCUGCGCCCCCGGACCCCUGCGCCCCGCUCUCCUCGCCCGGCCGCAGCGUGCGCCUGGGCGCACCCCGCCCCGGGCCCUGGAGGCGCGCGGGGACGCCCGCGCUGGUGCCUCGAGGCCCGUGGGGUGGGGAGAGGAGCCGCCGGGCUGCGGGGCGGGAGGAAGAAAACAAAUCCGGGUAGAGGCUCCCGCCGAAUCCGCGCACCCGGCGCCCUCUCUUGCGCUCUGGCUCCUAGGCCGCCCCGGAACUUGCCUCCGGGCAGGCAGCUUCGGGGAAGGUGGCUAGGUUUCUUGAUUGUUCUCUUCCUCCUCCAUCUGCCUCCUUGGGGUUCGGGCGGCGGCGCGGGCGCGACCCCAUCCGGCGCGCGCUCCCUGCUUGCUAGGGGAUCGUUUGCCCGGCCAGUCCAGCCUCUUCUCCCCUACUCUCAUGUUCCCGGGCUCGGCCUGUGUCUUCGAGCCCUCGCGGCAGACCCUGGCUGGCAAGCGCGGCCGGGCACGCGCGCCCCUGGCGCUGGCCCCCUUCCGUGCUGUCCACCCCUCUUUCCCUGGGGGCCGCGCUGACGGGGGCGGGGAGGCCGCAGGGGGCCCAGGGCGCCAGCCAUCGAGCUUAACCUCUCCGAGCUGCGGAGCCUGCAAUGAGUGAGGGUUUUAGUGGCUAAUAGAAACUCGGUGCAAAUCACCAAGAUUCUUCUUUUAACCUACUGAAAUGAUUUACCAAGAUUUGGGCUCCAUUUUUACUGAGAUUUGGCGAGACCAAAUGGACGCGUGCGUACAUUACCAGCAGCCGCUAGGCCGAAGGGCCCCAGCACCCUUCCUGCCUCCUCUCCCACUUUCCUUUGCCGCUCUGGCCUCCCCCAGCCUCCCUCCCGCUCCGGGCGAGCCUCCACCCCAGCCCCCACCCCUGGGAUGCGAAGCCAGCAAGCUUUUGCUGCAGAUGGACAAAUUUCUUUUCUAUGGCUUUUUCCUUUCGAUGAACCAUCAGAUUCCAGUAGUACAUUUGGGAAAAGAAAGGGCUGAUGGUGUUAACAUGGUUCUCAAUAUAGAACUGGAUUUCUGGAGUUGUUUACUUUUUUUUUUUUUUUUUUCCAAAAGAUGGACUAAUGUAGUCAUUGGUCAGACUUUUUAGCCACGAAUAAUUGAACCAGCGGUUUACAAUUGUCAAUUCUUUGUGCUGGUGAUUUUACGUGGCGGCCCUCUGCUGCAGUCCUAAAACUUGUUGAAAACACAAAUUCAUUUAUAAGACUGAGUCUAUGUAUUUUGAAAAUCUGAAAACUUUGCAUGUAUUUUAUAUUUUAACCAUAGAUAAAUCUUGGACAUUUUCUGUGGUGAGGUAGAAACUUUUAAGUUAAGGAAAUUAGUGACAGGUAAUAAAUUUGGCCUCAGAAUGGAAACAAAUAGUCAUGAUUAAAAAAAAAAAAAAAGCUAUGUAGCCUAAAUUCUUGAUAGUAAAAUAAGAGAAAAAUAGAUGGUCGGCGAUCUAAAUUAAAAACCUGUUAGAUCUCAGGACUGGCGCCUGAAUGCGCUAUUAACAAUAUUUAAGGCUGUUUUGAUGAAUGCAUUGUGAAAAUCAUUCUUAACGAAUUCUUUAUUGAAUGUCUAAACCAUAAUAUAAUACACAAGGUAUUCUUGCCACUGGAUAGUCUUCAAUAAAAGUUUAAUUGCAUUUUUUUUUUUUUUGGUCUCUUAAGUAAGUCUUAUUUUUAACUAAGCAUUGACAGAAUAUCUUAAAAUGGUAACGUGGGGGUGGGGGUGGGCCCUGAGUGCACUGCAGCCUAGCCAAUGGGUAUCCUGCUGUUUAUAAUUAGUUCACAGACUUUGAUGAUGGUGUUUUGGUAAGAUUUCCAUCUUUAAGAACUUGAACCAGCAUUCUCUUAUUAAUUCUUUAAACUGUGGAAAUAAUCUUCCAGUUCUUACACUCUGAUAUGCAUCCCUUUUAUUAAAAAAAAAACGUAAUGCUAAUAAGAGGCAGUGUAUUUAAACUGUGCUUUGCAAAUAUUGUGUAUGUUAUGAAUGACUACAGUCACAGGGCAAAUUAUUUGUAGAAUGAUUAUCCUUUAGCUAGAAAAAAAUCGUUAACCCUUUUGAGUGGAGAUGUUUCUUUUUAAUGUUAAUCAAGGGGAAGUGAUUUAAAUAUGCACGCAUAUAGCAGUCAGGAUGAUUUAGUUGUUUUUUUGAGAAAGAAAAAGACUCAAAAGACAAGACCUGUUUUUCUCUCUGGGAGUUAAAACUAUAAUCAUUUGAUAUUGGUACAGUACAAUAAAUUUACAUUUGUUUUUCACUUCAGAAUUUAAGUGACUUGCCCAAGGAAUCUGAGAAAUAAAGCAAAUAACUUGCUCUAUUUUAAAGUAGUCAUUCAAUAUAAAUAUAUUAUAUCAAUCUUAACUUUUUUAUUCUCUCAUAUGAUUAAUAAUAUGUAUAUUCUUACUUUUUCUUCUAAUGGGCAUAUGUAUCCUUGUGGACACUUUGGAGAGAGGUUUUCUUGGACUCUCCCAUUUAUAGAAUCUUUAUACUCUUACUGCGUGGUUCCCUGCUUUUAACAGAUUUCUGAGGCAAAUAUAUUUGUGCUUUUUUCUUAUGUAGGAUGACCAGCGAAAAUAGUUUACUGAGUUGUCAAUUUUAUCAGUAAAUAAGAAACUUUCUUUAUUACAGUUUCAGGGAAGAUUUUUUCAGGAUAUGUCUCAGUUAUUCUAAGGGCCAAAUUUUAUAACCUUUCCAUUAGGAAUGUCCGUUUCCAAUACCCUUUGUAUAGCCUAGGCCAGUGAGGCUGCCAAGACUGAGCCUUAUGGAUCCCAACACAGGAAUUCACCAGUUCCCAAAGGAACCGUCUCCAUGUAAUGACGCUCACACAUGCUUUUCAGAGAUUUGGCUUAUUUUAAUCAUUGGUUCUUCCUCACUGUUCAUUUAUUUGAUUUAUUCUACUAUAUCCCCUUUUAUUUGAUGAUCUGGCAAAUUCUGCUCUUUGAUAACAACUCAGUUUUUUUUUUGCCGCUUUUCAUGGAGCCCACAUUUUAAACACAAUAAAGAUUAAACAAAAUUUAUUAUAGUCAGCUCUCUUUCAUUUUAGUUUGCUACUGGCAUUUUUCUUGAAUCCUCACAUAUCUUCAUUUUUUUCUUUUUCAUUAUAGUUAUUUUUUUAACACUACCUAUAUCAAUUAGCUGCCUAAUUAGUUGUGUCUAUUCCAUGUGGAUGCAGUGAGUUUAUAAGAGAAUUUCACAAACAAGUAGUUUUUUAGUGAACUUAAACAGAAUUUUAAAGGAGACCUAUUUUUAUACUCAAUAAAAGCACAAAAGUGCAGAAAGUAUAAAAUGGCUUACAAAGGGAAACAUAGUUCAUAAUGUUCCAUGUAUAAAAGUAAUAAUUUUAUUGGGUAGAGAUACUCUUAAAAGAUUCAAUACCUCUGCCAAUGCACAGAUAGGACUGUUUUAAAAGACUUAGGAACUUGUGGUUGCCUGCAGUUGCAAACAGAGAACUACUCUGUAGAGAAAACAAACCACUAAAAGCAAUAUGAUCGAGUUGAGAUGUGGUUUCACAUGAGCAAUUGGUGAAUUGAAACAACCUGGAUGUGCAAACGUGGAGGCUUCCUUCUCAAUGUUUGAUCAAACUUCUUUUAUGUAGUCACGUAGACUUAAACGUUUUCUCUGCUGUGAAAAUGACAAAAUGAAGCAAUAUGACAAGUUCGAAAAUGUGUAAAAAAUAUUUAGGGUCCUUGAAGUGACUUUGAUGCUUAGGUUAUUUUAUUAGAUACAUUACAUUCCCUCUUCAAAAACAAAGAGCAACUGGAAAUAAUAAUAUACCUUAUAAAGAAUUUUGAUCAAAUAGAUAUUGACAAAGGGCCCUCUAACACAUUUUUCUUCAUCCAGCUUAUGUUCAAAAACAUAAUGCCCCAUCCCUUCAAUUUCAGAGGGAGAACCUUCUGUGCCAUCACCAUUCAUUUCCCAUUUCGUCUACUUUACUCUUGUACAUAUGUUGUGGGUUUAAGAGUCUUUUGCAUUUGUUUUGUGACGCCUUUUUUUGAAUGGACUGUUUUAAAAUGGAGGCCUACUUUUCCGGUUUGGGACUCCUAGUGGUUAUGGCAUCCCGCAGUGCUUCAUGAUGGCCACCAGGACACAGCCACCUGAUGUUUUAGAGCAGUUUCAGCAUGACACUGUGUACAAGUCUGUAUUUUCCAAGGCCAUAGGAAACUUACUUUCAUAGCCACUCCAGGUUUGGGAGCAGAAACGCUGAAAACCCUUUUGUUUAGAAGUCUGAGUGGCUUGUGGGGGGACCUUUUUUAGAGUUUGCAUGCCAGCGCACGACCUGACGCUGUGAAACAGAGAGAGGGGGGAGCUCCCGGAGGCCGUGCGCUGGAGGACGGUGUUUGCUAGCACUAGGGGGAAAGAGAAAAUGCAUGGGAAAGUUUCGUCUUCUCUAGACUAUCUAGCAUGCAGAGUGUAGUGUGUGGAAACAGUGUAUGACAUUGCUGUAUCAAAGUUGUAAAAUUAAGCAUUAUUUAUUGAAAACUAUGUAUUUUUUUGUAAAAACCUGAUCACAUAGAGAAUAUCAGUGGCUUGUGCUUGUGCUUCAGUGGAACCAGCCUCUUGACCCACUCUCCUUGGUAUGCAGUGUUCUUGCUCAGGGUUGAAAAGAGUAUGCCCAAAUGUCUCUUUUGCAAGAGUUUUUCACAGAGGAAUACAUUUGUUCAAAAGACUCUAAUAAAAUUGUGUGAUCGAUCUGCACUUGUGGUUUUUAUGUGACUUUUUUUCCAGUUUUGCAUUUGAUAACUGCUGUUCAAUUCCUAAAGAGUUGUCCUGCAAGCUGAUCUCACCGACAGGCUUGAGAUGCUGGGCGUCAGCCCGGAGGGGAGUGAACCCCUCGGAAUGCCCUGGGCGGGUUUGAGAGGUUUGAGCUGACGAUUGGAAGAAGCACGGUAAUGACGUCUUUCGAGAUUUUUAAUUGGCUAAUCGAGUGAAUAAAAGCAUAGACAGAGUAUAGAAGGGUAGAUUAACAUGUUUUGUCAGAAAUGCUUGAAAUAGAAAAUGAAGGAAAAAAUAUCAGAGGCAGUUGCUGCUAUUGAAUUCAAUGCCAGCAAACUCCAUUUCUCUUUUUUUUUCUAUAAACAAUUUACAGUGUAAAUGUAUUUUGACAUAGAAAUCAUUCUGUAUUGAGAUUCUUGAUAUAAAAUACUUUUAUGGAAGCCUGUAAGUGAUCCUUCGAAUUAUUAUCAGAUUUUUUAAAAGAUGUGUUUACAUGGUGAGUGUUUAUUGUAUAUUAAAUUUGGUUUUGUAGAAACGUUUGUGUUGUGUUUAACAAUUUCCAAGUGCACAGUUAACACGACCACUCAGGUUCUUAGUUAUACCAAUUUUCACUGCAAACCAAAGAACCGAUUUUAGACCUAUCUAUGGCAACUCGGUCUCAUCACUAUAUAAUAUAUUCAGUGUUUUAACUUCGUUCCUGACUAUUUUAACAUGUCUUUCACCUUGGUAGGAUUUUAUUUUUGUUUAUAUUUUGAAAGAAACAAAAAAUAGACCCUGUGUAAGUUUCACCUAGUAAAAAUAGUCCCUUGCAAUUAGCAUUAAAGGGUCCUGAAUGUGUUUCAAAUUCCUCCUGGGGCCUCCUGGGACUGUUUAUUAUACGACUUACCUUUCAAUGAUGUGGGUUUUUAAAAAUAGAAAUUAUUUUUAAUUCAAUAGUUAAAUUUAUUGAAGAGACAUGUCUGGCUAAAAUGCCCCUGGUAGGACUUUUAAGAAAACAUAAAAUGUGAAAACUUUGACUUUGCUAUUCUCCCAGCAAAUCUGAGAGUGAAAGGGAAAAAUGGUGUACCCUUCCUCCAGCGAUGGCUUUUAUAAAGUGCCAUAGAAGUAGUACACCUGGACAGAAUGUCUUGACCCGAUUAUGGAUGAUAAUAUUCUCGUUGGAAAAUACAUUGGUUCUAUCCAAAAGUAAAUGCUUUCAUGGCAAGCGUAGCUUGGUGAGUUUGAAAUAAGUGAAUCCUGAUUUUGACAUUGGUUCAAGCACAUAUGACUUCAUUAAAAAUAUGGUUCCUUUUGAUAUUUGGAGAACAGUGGGAGUGGAAGGAGGCCAUAGCAGGACAGCUCACAUCACUCUGUGUUUUGUCAUCUGAUAGGACUGAAUUGCAGAGCUCAAGUUUUGUCAUCUGUGAUCAAACUGGAUCUAAUCAUAAUAGGCAGCACAUGAGUAAAUCUGAAAAAAAUCAGAAGAUUGACCCUUUAGAUUUCUUUUUCUAUGAAAUAAUCACCAGUGUGUAUUGAGCUUGAGAUUACGUACCGUAGGUGCCAAUCAUUUGCUGCCCUCCGUAUCCCAUUCUACAGGACUUGCGAACUCCCUUUUCCAGUUGGAUUAAAUGAGCAUGCUCUGCCCAGUGCCCCUGACCAGGUGGCUGUCAACUAAAGAAGAGGUGACCCAUGACAUGGUUCUGACCAAGGAGAUGUUAGUGAAAUCUGUUCAGUGAGAGCUACAGGAAAACACCUCAACAGGGAAGGUGGGCAUGUGCCUCUCUCCAUUUGCUCUUUCCUUCCAUCUGGGAUAUAGACAUGAUGGCUGGCAUUCCAAGUGUGAGCAUGAAGCAGAGGGAAAAGGAAUUCCAGAAUCUUCAACCAGCUGCCAAAUCGUCGUCAACCACUGCCCGUGUUUGGGGUACAAGAAUGAAGAGAUUAUCCUUUAUUAACAUUUAAGGAUUGGGUUAACAGUAAUACAUGUAUAUAAUUUUAAAAAUAAUGCAUGUAUUGGGAGUGCCUGCUCAAAAAUUUUAAUGGCUAGAAUUGCAUGAUGAGACAAGAUUAGAGGCCUCUGUUCCGGAGUAGAGAAGAGAUGAUAUGCUAUAUUGUCAAGGACGGCGGGUGAAGAAGCAGAGGGGUGUCUUCCAACUCUGUUGAGUCCCCAGGUCAGCUGUGUGAUAUUAAGUAACUUACUUUGCCUCUCUGAUUCUCUGUUUUUUUGUUUGUUUGUUUAUUUGUUUGUUUUUUGGUGAGAAAGAUUGGCCCUGAGCUAACGUCUCUUGCCAAUCCUCCUCUUUCUGCUUGAGGAAGACUGGCCCUGAGCUAACGUCUGUGCCCAUCUUCCUCUAUUUUGUAUGUGGGACACCGCCGCAGUAUGGCUUGAGGAGUGGUGUAGGUCCAUGCCUGAGAUCCAAACCCGCUAACCCCAGGCCGCCGAAGUGGAGCACACUGAACUCAACCACUACGCCACUGCGCCGGCCCCCUGAUUCUCUGUUUUUCGUGCAUAAAUUGGUGGUUGAACUAGAUCAUAUUUGAGGUUCCUUUUAGGUCUAACAAAUAAUGCAAACAGCUACUAAUUCUUUACACUCAGAGUGUGGUUUGGAGGCAUGCAUAUAAACUCCUGCUCUCAGAGCCAGCAGGUGAUGUAAAUGAGGGCGAGGGUAAGACAGCCAGAUGCCUCAUGGCCUGUGGAAGCAGAGAAAGGCGAGCCCUAACAGAAGUUGUUCCCAUUCAGGACACUAAAACCCCCAGGGCCAAACCAAAUGGCCAUUGGCCCCAUGUUUUGUUUUGUUGUUUGGGGGCCAGUCUGUGGUUUUGAAGGCCCUGCUUACUCUGCUCCAAGAGAGAACUGCUGUGUCAUACUUCAUAAAGGGAGAGAACAGAAGCAAUUAUUUUUCAGGCCAAUAAAUUCUCAAACUCAGGUUUGAUAUAAUUUUUUGAAAGAGAAUUUUUUUUAUAUUGCCAUUUCAGUUGACAAACUUCUUUAACUGAGAAAACAUAAACAUAUUUUAGCUUUAAUAUAGAUACCGGAACAUUUCCUGAAACACGAAUCUGCUUUCCAAACUAACCAAACAAACAUCACAAUCACACAAUCAAAAAUACAGACUUCUGGGCCCAUUUCCCAAAAUACUGAUUCAGUGUGUUUGGAAUGAGACCCAGAAUCUAUGUUUUUAUCACUGUGUCCAGCUGAUUCUGAGGCUCUUGGGCCACAGGCCAGCUUCUGAGACCCAUGGCCCUAAAUCAGUGAGAGAAUCACAAAAGACAAAAAUCGUUUUGCCAAAAUUCAGCGUCUCAGUGUCAAGUAGUAAGAUUUCCAUUAAUAAACACACCCUGUCUUUCUGCCUCUUUUCUGUGGCCAUGCUUCUUCUGUGAAAUUUUAUGGAGUGUUGAGUGUUGAGCACACAGCUGCAAGAUGAUGCUCACCUUCAGGGUCUUCGUGGUCAGCUGAGCAAGAAGCCGCCUGCCAUGUUCACCACACACCGAGAGCUGUGGCUGAGGGCUCCAUUGACAAUUGCAGGUGAGAUGUUACUGUGGAAAGGAGCCUGGCCUGAGAACAAGAGUGCUAAUCACGAUGGAGCGCUUACUGGAGGAAGCCGUGUAGCCUGGUGGGCGCAAGGCAGCACAGAUCAUCAAAUGGCAGCACCAGCACCCAAACCCAGACCUUCUCAGGUCGAGAGCCUGUCUGCUUCGCCACUGUGCCAGUCUCUGACCCUAAUCAAUAAUCUGGCUGUUGUGAUGACAUUACUUCCUUCUGGAAAACUCUCUGCUGCUGCUGUAUUGUUUUGGGCUUGUGACUUUUAAGUUCUUAACAAGCUUUUGUGGAAUGAAUGAAUGAACUGGGAAAUACCAUAUCUCCUCUCAUUUACACAGAAUAAAUCUCUUGGGAAAAGAGGGUUGGGGUUUGCUUUAUAUCUGAGAGGAGAUGCUGUUGAGUGACUUACCGAACUGCCAGGGAUGUAUGCCUUCAGCGGUGUGAUUGUUAAUUACGCUGACAACUGUGGGCCACAGCACUUUGUUUUAUAGGAAAAGCCAUCAAGAACUUUUAGAGACAAUAUUAAGGAACCCAGAGUGGACCCUGGGACGGUUAAUUUUCAUGUCAACUCGACUGGGCUAAAGGAUGCCCGGAGAGCUGGUAAAACAUUAUUUCUGAGUAUGUCUGUGAGGGUGUUUCUGGAAGAGAUGAGCAUUUGGAUCAGUAGACUGAGUAAAGAAGAGCAUCCUCACCAGUGCAGGUGGGCAUCGUGCAAUCCUUUGAGGGCUCCAAGAGAAUAAAAAUGUGGAGGAAGUUUGGAUUCACUCUCUGUCUGACUGCGUGAGCUGGAAUGUUCCUCUUCUGCCCUCGGAUGUCGGAGCUCCUGGUUCUUGGGCCUUUGGACUUGGGGACUUGCACCCAAGUUCUCUCUGGUUCUCAGGCCUUCGGCUUCAGACUGAAUUAAAGCACCAGCUUUCCUGGUUCUCCAGCUGCAGUUGGCGGAUUGUAGCAUUCUCAGCCUCCAUAAUCUCCUGAGCCAAUUCCCAUGAUAAAUCUCUUAUAUCUCGCUCUAUCCUAUUGGUUCUGUUUCUCUGGAGAGCCCUGACUAAUACAGGCCUCCAAUCAUAUUUCUAAAGCCUACGGGCCGGCCCCGUGGCUUAGUGGUUAAGUGCGCAUGCUCCGCUGCUGGCGUCCCGGGUUCUGAUCCCGGGAGCGCACCGACGCACCGCUUCUCCGGCCAUGCUGAGGCCGCGUCCCACGUACAGCAACUAGAAGCAUGUGCAGCUAUGACAUACAACUAUGUACUGGGGCUUUGGGGGAAAAAAUAAAUAAGUAAAAAAAAAAAAAAAAAUUAUUAAAGCCUAAAUACCCAGAAUGACUUUUCUCCUACUUCCAGCUAGUUCCAUUCUUGAAAACUCUCAACUAUGUAAAAUAUAUUACUUGAUACAGAAUCAGCAAAUAAUAUUAAUUAUUAAGAAAAAUAUUUGGUAAUUUUUCUUAGUAGCUUAAGCUUGAUUUUUUUUUUUUUCCUGAGAGGUAAGACUUAAAAUCAGCUAAGGAAAGAAAGCAACUAUGGCUUUAUUUCAGUGACGACUGGUAGUUCUAUUUGCUUUGAUUUUUUUUUCUUUUUAUGUUGGUUAUUUUUCUUUUAGUUUGUAAAGUCUUCUAAUAGUCUUCAGAAUGAAAGAUACCAUGUAAUGAGUCUUAUUAUUAUAUUUAAUGCAUUUUUGUAGUUAACGUUUUAAAAACAAAACAUAUAAAAAUCAUUCAUUUCAUUUCCUAGAUGGAAAAAUAUAAACAU